AGAAAGCGUAAAAGCGAACAAGUCGAGUCGGCCUGCGCGGAAGAUGUAACGGGGCUCAAACCAGGUACCGAAGCUACGGGUUCAACGUAAGUUGAGCGGUAGAGGAGCGUUCUGUAAGCCUGUGAAGGUCAGUUGAGAAGCUGGCUGGAGGUAUCAGAAGUGCGAAUGCUGACAUGAGUAACGACAAUGCGAGUGAAAAACUCGCACGCCGAAAGACCAAGGUUUCCUGCGCAACGUUAAUCGACGCAGGGUUAGUCGGCCCCUAAGGCGAGGCAGAAAUGCGUAGUCGAUG
rnacentral:rRNA from 1 species